CAAUAGCGUAUAUUAAAGUUGUUGCAGUUAAAAAGCUCGUAGUUGGAUUUGUGGCGUACGGUGUGUUCCGGGCACUUGUUGUCUGAGUAACCUGCUGUUGCCAUCCUUGGGUGGAACCUGUGUGGCAUUAGGUUGUCGUGCAGGGGAUGCCCAUCGUUUACUGUGAAAAAAUUAGAGUGUUCAAAGCAGGCUUAUGCCGUUGAAUAUAUUAGCAUGGAAUAAUGAGAUAGGACUUUUUUGCUAUUUUGUUGGUUUGCGCAAGAAGGUAAUGAUUAAUAGGGACAGUUGGGGGUAUUCGUAUUCCAUUGUCAGAGGUGAAAUUCUUGGAUUUUUGGAAGACGAACUACUGCGAAAGCAUUUACCAAGGAUGUUUUCAUUAA
rnacentral:rRNA from 1 species